rnacentral:rRNA from 1 species
UACAGAGGGUGCAAGCGUUGUUCGGAAUUACUGGGCGUAAAGAGCUCGUAGGUGGUUUGUCGCGUUGUCCGUGAAAACUCACAACUCAAUUGUGGGCGUGCGGGCGAUACGGGCAGACUGGAGUACUGCAGGGGAGACUGGAAUCCCUGGUGUAGCGGUGGAAUGCGCAGAUAUCAGGAGGAACACCGGUGGCGAAGGCGGGUCUCUGGGCAGUAACUGACGCUGAGGAGCGAAAGCGUGGGGAGCGAACAGG